rnacentral:lncRNA from 1 species
GUGAUAAGAGUUAUAAGCUAAGAUUCUUAUCAAGAACUUAUCAGAAACCUAAACUACAAAUAACACAUUGACAGAUGAAUAAUAAAGAUGUGAUAGAUUGAAAAGGUAUAAACAUGUAAUGUAGUAAAGAAUAAAGACCUUCGAUCACUGUACAAUAUGAACAAAUAAAUUACAAAAAAAAAAUAUAUAUAUAUAAAAAUGAAAAAUAUCGAAAUGAUAUUACAAGUUAGGA